UAAUUUGUUUGGAGCAUAUACUUAUUUAGUUAUGUCAUAUACACAAGUGACUACUAGAUUUUUCUCUGUUUAGUUUGGAG
rfam:Populus trichocarpa isolate Nisqually-1 chromosome 11, whole genome shotgun sequence.